UACGUAGGGUGCGAGCGUUGUCCGGAAUUAUUGGGCGUAAAGAGCUUGUAGGCGGUUUGUCGCGUCUGCUGUGAAAAUCCGGGGCUCAACCCCGGACUUGCAGUGGGUACGGGCAGACUAGAGUGUGGUAGGGGAGACUGGAAUUCCUGGUGUAGCGGUGAAAUGCGCAGAUAUCUAGAGGAACGCCAAAGGUGAAGACAGGCGACUGGUUUGCAACUGACGCUCAUGGACGAAAGCGUGGGGAUCAAACGGG
rnacentral:rRNA from 1 species